UCAGAUUCAGCUACCAAAAUAGCAAGAUGAAACUUAGGGUAGAAAUCAGCUGCUAAGGUUUGACUUUUCACACCUGUUGGAAAACAAUGAACACAAAACGAUGAUUUUUCAAACAAUUGAAAGAACAUUGAGCAGAAUUUAAGAUAUUUUGCAUUUUGUAAGGAUGGUGUGAGAUGGUGUCUGCUUUUGGGGCGAAUCUUAGACAACUCGACCUAAUGCAGACUCGGCCCAACUUUUCACUUAAUUCUGGUCAAUAGUAACAAUUCCGCAGCCCCUACAUUACUAUCCAUAUGUUUAGCAAGUAAUCACUUUUAAUCCCAGGAGAGGCAAUGUAAACAAAAAAUUGGUUUGUGUAGAUGAGAUGUAAAGAACUGAGAACUGUCAGGUCCAGAGAAAAGGGGGUGAGAUUUGGCCAAAAUUGUAAAGAUUAAAUGGAAUAAACGAUAGGUGAAGGGAAAAUGCCACCAAAUAAGCAUGAAAAUGCUGCAGUCAAAGCAUGAGACUUGGCAGUCCAAAGGGUUAUGAAGGCAUACUAGUACCACUAAUUUUUGCCCGGUCAAAAGAAUAAACAAGAAAGUUUUACAUAUUUUAACAAAAUAGUUCCUUCUCAUAGCUGUAUUUUUAUCAAUUUGUGAAAUAUUUGGGUAGUUUGGUAUCAAAUGACUUGGGAUCACUGGAGAACCCUUUCUGGAAUGUUCCAUAGCGCUUUUGCUAAUUAAUAUUCAUAAUAUGUAAAUGAGAAUUGUACCAUGUGAUUAUAGUCUGAACUGGACUGGGUUGAUAUCAUUAAAAUCACCUGAUAUAAAAUACAGGUAAUUUUUUGUUCAAAAUAACAAUAAUGCUAUAACAUGUAUAACAUGUACAUGAUAUAAGUAAAAGAUUGAAGAUUACACAAAAUAAAUGACAAUUCAAGUCAUACUUUUUUUGGUAAACAUAUUUCCUGCAUAAAAACAUAUCUACAUGACCUUUGUCUUUUUCAUUAAAAUUGCAUUUACUUUCAGUAAAACUCACACAGUAAUUUUCAAAAACUGUGGGUGAUACAUAUAAUCCUUAGUCAUGUUAGUAUUUAAAAUUUACUAGUAAAUUUACAUGUACUUAUAAUUCAGAAAGUUUUCUGUGUCCAGAUGUGUCCAUUGCAUUUAUUGUACAGCCCAUGAACAUGAAUUACUAUAACAUAAAUGUAUCAUAUUUAUGCAAAGUAAAGUCAAGUUCAUGAAGCUAAUGUAUAUAUAUAUAUUAGUAUUAAACUAGCAAAAAGUGUGUAAACUGUUUGAAUCACUUAAUGUUCACAAUAAUGCAAUACAUGCAAUAAUUUCUACAAAAGCGGGCCAAAUUUAUACCAGAGGAACAUUCAAAUUCGAAAAUUGAAAAUAAACGGACAACGCCAUGGCUAAAAUAGACAAAGACAAUCAGACAGACAAUAGAACACAAAAUACAACUUAGAAAACUAAAGAAUAAGCAACACAAACCCCACCAAAAACAGGUGCCCCGUAAGAGUAAGCAGUCUCAUCUGAAAUCACCCCAAAUUUUUUUUUGCAGUUUGAAAUUUGAUGUGCAUUUCUUGUUGCUCCUACCAAUAUAAAACUUGAAAAAUGUUUGAAAUGUUCCCCUCAUAUAAUAUUUUUUUUUAAUUUUUAGAAAAACUUUAACACCAUGAUCAGUAAACUGUACUAUGGCGGGCAUGCAGAUGUUCUUAGAUGACAGAUAGAUUGUAGGUACAUCUUAAAUAAGUAUAUGCCUAAUAGAAAAGAAUAUGUUUAUUAUACCUUUCUGACACUGUGAUGUGUAGGGAUUUAGUUAAGACUUGAAGAUGCAG
rnacentral:lncRNA from 1 species